UACGGGGGGAGCAAGCGUUGUUCGGAUUUACUGGGCGUAAAGGGCGCGUAGGCGGCCAGCGCAAGUCGGUUGUGAAAUCUCCGGGCUUAACUCGGAAAGGUCAACUGAUAGUGCGCGGCUAGAGUGCAGAAGGGGCAACUGGAAUUCUCGGUGUAGCGGUGAAAUGCGUAGAUAUCGAGAGGAACACCUGCGGCGAAGGCGGGUUGCUGGGCUGACACUGACGCUGAGUGCGCGAAAGCCAGGGGAGCGAACGGG
rnacentral:rRNA from 1 species